UACGAAGGGGGCUAGCGUUGUUCGGAUUUACUGGGCGUAAAGCGCACGUAGGCGGAUCGAUCAGUCAGGGGUGAAAUCCCAGAGCUCAACUCUGGAACUGCCUUUGAUACUGUCGAUCUGGAGUAUGGAAGAGGUGAGUGGAAUUCCGAGUGUAGAGGUGAAAUUCGUAGAUAUUCGGAGGAACACCAGUGGCGAAGGCGGCUGUCUGGGCCAGUUCUGACGCUGAGGCGCGAAAGCGUGGGGAGCAAACAGG
rnacentral:rRNA from 1 species